rnacentral:lncRNA from 1 species
ACCAGUUCAUACACAUCCGCUGCCAUGUGCAGAUGCACCGGGUCACAGAGUGUGUCGAAGUACUUCCUUACUGCGAAAUUGAUUGCAGGAACUUCCUAUUCUAAGCCUCAUAUAUUUCUUCACACACUGCCACAUUUGCCAGAUUCUUGCAUGUCAUCUCCCUUCAGAAGGCAGAGGUAACUUUUUUUACAACAAGCCGUGUUCCCCAGAUAGCUGAAGUCAAGAUUUCGCGAUUCUUCUGAAGCUCAGGAUCAAAACGUUGAUUACCAGUUCUUAUCAUUGCUGUUGAGUUCUUGAGAACCGUAUUAGCGUGUAAAUCAGACUAAGAUGGGUGCUGCAAACGCAAUACCCGGACUGGACACAUGGAGCCCAAACAGCAAAGAACGUGACUGUAGGUGUGCGGGGUGUGACGUGAUACUCGUUUGCGAGGUGGUGGCCGGUAUGGGUCAGCAUACCUACGCAUUUUUGAAGCAGGCCUUGGGAACAGAAACUGUCACCAUUUCGGGGAAAGUUGGGGCAGGUGGAGGUCCUGAGGGUGCGGCAGUUAACGCCGAGGUGGGGCAGUCAAUUUCAAUCGUAAAGGGUGAGUGGCUCAUCACUUACCUUCGAAAAUUAGGAUACAAGCACAUGUGCACCGACUGUUUUAGGAAGGCCUUUCCUAAGGAUUUUGCAGGAAUUCUCCUAACAUCCGUUGGAAAGGCCAAGGUGAUCAACUCGAAGUAUCAAUGGCUUCAAAUGUCUUAUGGAAAGUAUUGAAUCCUGGAGUUGUUUAUCACCAGUUUAACACAUCCAUCAUGGUGAGAGCAGUUGGUUUACAUUUUGGUGUAAAGCUUUCAAUGUAAUGUAAACCGUACAGUAGUUGCUAUGAAGGUUGUUAUAUGUAAUUGCACAAUGACAAUGUGAAAGCUUUUGUAGUGCAGCUAACUUUCUAAGAAGAGUAAUUAAAUCCAUGCAUGUAUUACAUUUCAUCAAAACUUUUCAAUUUUUUAAAAAAUGAUCAUGCAAGAUUAAAAGGUAUUUGCAAUCAUUUGUUUUAAUACAGACAUUCAAAUAUAUAUUCAAUAUUCAUAUUUAGCUUUUUACUGUUUCUUAGGGUAUAUUACUGCCUUUAUUGAUUUUAUGCUAAUAUUAUUUGCAUAUUCAUAAGUAACACCGUGAUGUCCUCUCAGGUAGAAUGCCUCCAUUUGUUUGUACACAAAAAGUCCUGCAUGUUUUUAGGUUUUGGUGGAGUAAAUUUUCUCUUAAUUAUUGAUGCCUUGUUGCGCACAGCAUUAAGCAAGCAUCAAUCACUUUCCCAUAAAUGUUUUCAGUAAGUAAAUUCUUGCUUCACAAGUUGAACCAAAAACCCAUGCACUGAACUAUUUGUUCCCUGACUGACAUCACGGCAACAGCGCCCUCAUUCGUCCAGGAAAUUUUUGAAAAGCACUUUCCAAUGUAUUUAGCCAGAUAAGAGUGUAAAGGAGAUUCCACACGUUGAAAAAAAGUACAAAGGUGCAAAGUUGUGUUUAAGAAAAAUCCAUUGCCUUUACAGGGGCAUUUCUCAUUGGAUUAUGUAGGUAGACCUCGCGGUGCUUUUGUGCCGACAUUUUGUGACGAUAAAUGUAUGCCUGUGGUUCCCUUCAAUUCGUAUCGUCCAUUAUUUUCAAAUGCUCUUGUACAAAAAACAAAAUGUAAGGUAGAUAUUUGCCAGUCUGAAGAUUUUUCUUUAUCCGUAGUAAAAUGUCAUGUAGCAUUGUAAAUAUCGCCUGAUACCUGUAUAAGAAACAGGGUGUAACAUAAAUAUUUCCUAGUCUCAAGAUAUUUCUUAAUCCGAAAGUAGUUGCCUGAAUAUACUUCAUCCCAAAGUUGUUUGUAUCUGCACCCUGCUCGAAAUACUGCAACCCAGAUUAUAAUUGUCACUCUGGACUCCUUACAGUCGAAUGAUGUGAUCAGGCCAAUUUAUUCUUUUCAAGGGGUUACGUGUCUUGUUUGUCACUUUUCACGACAGGUCUUACUGUCAGCCUUUCGCAAUACUUCUUGACCUUCUAGAUUACUGCAUGCUUUACGAAAUGUAUACUGUAGUUAACAACAAAGGGUCAAGUCUUGAUUAGAAGUUGCUGGGUAUCUUGCAAAUGGAUACUGACGCUGUACGGCAAUAAUGAGCCUGGACUGUUAUGGGUAAAAAAAAUUGGAACAGACAAAAAGUGUUUUGUUCUUUUUUUUUUAAUUUGGCCAAAACCAAACUUAUAAAUCCCAACCUAUGCGGUUAUUGUCAAUUUUACAGUGCCAAGAGGUGAAGAUUUGGUGACUACACUGUCACUGAAUCCUUUACACUGGGUCCAGGUCAGAUAUUACAUCCCAACAACACUGGCACAGACUUGUGGUUUCCGGCCUCACCUUUGGGGAAUUCCCCCACCAAUAGGAAGUGUCCAUCAAUAGUCCGGUUGUGUACAACUAAUUGAGCACGUAUGUACCCCUCGAUUGGUACCUCACUAUUUCCUGCCCCAUACACACGCAGGUAUGUACCUAGAGGCUGCACUUCACUAAGCUUUCCUGCAAGGUGGUCCCUAUAAAAGGAGGAGCUAACUAGAGAAGUCUCUGCCCCGGUAUCGAGGACACAUGUGGUCGACACCCCAGCCAAAGUUAUCUGAGCCUUUGGGCUCUCCCUAACUAGACUGCUUAAAAUAUCCUCACAAGACUUCUCUACAACCCCCUCGACAGGUGAGGCCUUACCAGACUCUCUCUCUGUCACUCGGCCUACAGUGGCAGAGGGGUCCGGUUUACCGCCUGGUUGUCCUUGUUUUCCCCUUUUGCUUGUUCAUGCAUGGUACUGCCCUUAGCCUUUUCAUGGGCAAGGCGAAGCUUACACUCCUGCUUCACAUGACCUGGGCGCUUACAAUAAAAGCAACGAAUUGGUUUGCCCUGUUGCCCUACUGUACCUUGUUGGCCUGGCCUAGGGCCAACCUCACCCCUGCUAGCUACAGCCUGAAUUAGAGUUGUGAUUUGCUCUUGUUGCUUAAAUAGAGCUUCCUGCUGUACCUGCAUGCACCCAAGAAUCUUUUCCUGCUGUUGCAGGAUCUUCUUCAACUGGGUAUCUUCGCUAACAACUGAGUUAAUACUGAUAGUGGCCACUGGCUCAUCAUCCGUACCACUUUCAGCUACCAAGUGGUUGACACCUGCCCCACGUCGGGAACCACGGGGGUUCCCCUCAAGAUCCCUGAAAAGCUCACGGGCUGCAUCCCUCAUUUCAGCAAAACUCUGACUAGGCUUGGCCAGUUCAAAGGGCCUUAAUUCGAGCCUCACCCCCUGAUUCCUUGCACCUGCCACAAACUGACUAAUCAGAACACUAUCCCGCAAACCCUUCAAAGCGGUUCUCUCUGCCUCAGUUGCAACUUCUAAAAUUCUAUCAUGCAUUCGCAUAAGCGCAUGAGAAAAGUCCAUGAGGGUUUCAUCCUCUUUUUGCUGCCGCUCAAAGAGUGUUUUCUGUCACGUAAACAUUUGUGGGAUAUAAAUUUAUUAAACUGUUGUAACAAAGCCUGCAUUUUUUGGUGAGGAAUGGAAGAACAAGUGCAAAUCCUUUUUUUUUUAACUUGGAGUGUUCAUGAUAUUUGUGACUAUAAUAAUGAUAAUCGAAACCUAGAUAAUGGUGUAUUACGUGUACUGAAAAA